rnacentral:rRNA from 1 species
GACGUAGGUGGCGAACGUUAUCCGGAAUUAUUGGGCGUAAAGGGUGCGUAGAUGGCCUGAUAAGUUAGCAGUGGGAAAUCGAGGCUCAACCUCGUGGAAGCUGGUAAUACUGUCAGGCUCGAGUGCAGGAGAGGUUAAAGGAACUCCAUGUGGAGCGGUAAAAUGUGUAGAUAUAUGGAAGAACACCAAUAACGGCGAAGGCAGUUAACUAUUCUGUUACUGACAUUGAGGCACGAAAGCGUGGGGAGCAAAACGG